rnacentral:rRNA from 1 species
GAGUUUGAUCAUGGCUCAGGACGAACGCUGGCGGCGUGCCUAAUACAUGCAAGUCGAGCGGAGUUGAAUAAGUGCUUGCACUAAUUCAACUUAGCGGCGAACGGGUGAGUAACACGUAAAGAACCUGCCUCAUAGACUGGGACAACUACUGGAAACGGUAGCUAAUACCGGAUAACAUAUUUUUCUGCAUGGGAAAAUAUUGAAAGUCGGUCAUGCUGACACUAUGAGAUGGCUUUGCGGUGCAUUAGCUAGUUGGUAGGGUAAAGGCCUACCAAGGCGACGAUGCAUAGCCGACCUGAGAGGGUGAUCGGCCACACUGGGACUGAGACACGGCCCAGACUCCUACGGGAGGCAGCAGUAGGGAAUCUUCCGCAAUGGACGAAAGUCUGACGGAGCAACGCCGCGUGAGUGAAGAAGGAUUUCGGUUCGUAAAACUCUGUUGUUAGGGAAGAAUGAUUGUAUAGUAACUAUAUACAGUAGAGACG